rnacentral:lncRNA from 1 species
AUGCUUGUCAUAGUUCUUCCUUGCGUAGUUGUGAUGAUGGGUGUGACUGAGAAAGAUAACGAAACCCUAACACCUGUCAGAACGAGCAGUGUUCAACAGUGCUUCAGAAAGAGCUUAUCUUCCAGAGUUUCAGUACUUCUAAUUUACUUGCUGAAGAGAAGGUUUUGUAUGAACUAUGAAUGGCCAUGGGUAACUGAGUUUCAAAAGCAGACAGUCUUGUUUCUGCCCCCUCUGGAUGCUUCAAGUUAAGGCACUUUAAAAUCACCAGAAAUGCUUUCACAUCAAGUUUUUCUAUAUAAAAUGCUAAACUAAUAUUGCAAAUUUGACACUGGAUUUGACUUUUAAAGUAGAAAUGUUGCUUGAAAGUAACCCUGAAUCCUUUGCACUAAAACACAUAUUUUCUCAUUUAAUCAUUAGUUUUCAAUGAAAACUGUUCCUUAUAUCAGACUCUCCUAGUUACACAUAAAAUUCUGUAACCAAGAAAACUAUGAAAAAUGUUAUAGCAGCUUGUCCUAAGUUCAAAAAAAAUCAAAUUUUCUUCUAGAAUUAUAGAAACAAACAAAGAAGUUAAGGGUUCUGUAGUGGGUUUACGUGGGAAGGUUUUGGUAGCAGCGGGCCAUAGGGGUGGCU